UACAGAGGUCUCAAGCGUUGUUCGGAUUCAUUGGGCGUAAAGGGUGCGUAGGCGGCGCGGCAAGUCGGGUGUGAAAUCUCGGAGCUUAACUCCGAAACUGCAUUCGAUACUGCCGUGCUUGAGGACUGGAGAGGAGACUGGAAUUUACGGUGUAGCGGUGAAAUGCGUAGAUAUCGUAAGGAAGACCAGUGGCGAAGGCGGGUCUCUGGACAGUUACUGACGCUGAGGCGCGAAGGCCAGGGGAGCAAACGGG
rnacentral:rRNA from 1 species